UACGUAGGGGGCAAGCGUUGUCCGGAUUUAUUGGGCGUAAAGAGCUCGUAGGCGGUUCGGUAAGUCGGGUGUGAAACCUCCAGGCUCAACCUGGAGACGCCACCCGAUACUGCUGUGACUAGAGUCCGGUAGGGGAGCGUGGAAUUCCUGGUGUAGCGGUGAAAUGCGCAGAUAUCAGGAGGAACACCAGCGGCGAAGGCGGCUCACUGGACCGGUACUGACGCUGAGGCGCGAAAGCGUGGGGAGCAAACGGG
rnacentral:rRNA from 1 species